rnacentral:rRNA from 1 species
GACAUCGUGGAAAUAUCAAAUCUUCGGAGCCUUGGGAUGAGCCUGCGUCUGAUUAGGUAGUUGGCGGAGUAAUAGCCCACCAAGCCUACGAUCAGUAGCUGGUCUGAGAGGAUGAUCAGCCACACUGGAACUGAGACACGGUCCAGACUCCCUACGGGAGGCAGCAGUAAGGAAUAUUGCUCAAUGGGGGGAAACCCUGAAGCAGCAACGCCGCGUGAAGGAUGAAAUACUUUCGUAUGUAAACUUCUGUAAGAUGGGAAAAAUAUUUCUCCUCGGGAGAAUUGAUUGUACCAUCAGAGUAAGCCCCGGCUAACUACGUG